UUGAUUAUGCUAGCUAAUGCUAUCAUAAAAAUUGUGAACUGUUACCGUCUACUUGACGGCCGAAAGGCUGUCAUAUGGACUAUUUAUUUUAAUAUACUAAUAACUUUUUAUACCAGCAAUAAUGCUAUAUUACA
rnacentral:misc_RNA from 1 species